GAUUAACGCUGGCGGCGUGCCUAACACAUGCAAGUCGAACGAGGUAGCAAUACCUAGUGGCAGACGGGUGAGUAACGCGUGGUCAACCUACCGUUGAGUGGGGGAUAACUAGCCGAAAGGUUAGCUAAUACCGCAUACGUCUCCGAGGGGCAUCCCUUGGCGAUAAAAGGAGCAAUCCGCUCGAUGACGGGACCGCGUCCCAUUAGCUAGAUGGUGGGGUAACGGCCUACCAUGGCACCGAGGGGUAGCUGGUUUGAGAGAGCGACCAGCCACACUGGGGACUGAGAAACGGCCCAGACUCCUACGGGAGGCAGCAGUGA
rnacentral:rRNA from 1 species